rnacentral:rRNA from 1 species
GAUGAACGCUGGCGGCGUGCUUAACACAUGCAAGUCGAACGGUGAAGCUCCAGCUUGCUGGUGUGGAUCAGUGGCGAACGGGUGAGUAACACGUGAGCAACCUGCCCCUGACUCUGGGAUAACAGCCGGAAACGGCUGCUAAUACCGGAUAUGCACCAUGAACGCAUGUUCUGUGGUGGGAAAGAUUUUUCGGUUGGGGAUGGGCUCGCGGCCUAUCAGCUUGUUGGUGAGGUAAUGGCUCACCAAGGCGUCGACGGGUAGCCGGCCUGAGAGGGUGACCGGGCACACUGGGACUGAGACACGGCCCAGACUCCUACGGGAGGCAGCAGUGGGGAAUAUUGCACAAUGGGCGAAAGCCUGAUGCAGCAACGCCGCGUGAGGGAUGACGGCCUUCGGGUUGUAAACCUCUUUUAGCAGGGAAGAAGCGAGAGUGACGGUACCUGCAGAAAAAGCGCCGGCUAACUACGUG